GAGGAAAGUCCGGGCAGCAUAGAGUGCCGUACUUCCUAACGGGAAGGUCCCAAUAAAACGGGAACAGAAAGUGCCACAGAAAAUAUACCGUCUCGAUCUAAUCGGGAUAAGGGUGAAAUGGUGAGGUAAGAGCUCACCGCUUCUGCAGUGAUGCAGUUGGCAGGGUAAACCUUACGGGUUGAAAGGCCAAAUAGGUCCUGUUUUCCUUCGUGGAAUUGGGUUGCUCGCUCAAUCGCAAGAGGCAGGAUGGGUAGGCUGAUCGAUCCCGGUAGCGAUACCGGGACCAGAUAAAUGAUAAGAUUCCGUUCAUUUCGGGAACAGAACCCGGCUUA
rnacentral:RNase_P_RNA from 1 species